GAUAUUUUGAUGAUAGUGAUUAACCGCCGUGUCUUCCCAUUGCUUUAAUUCUCUAAUUAUGUUUAUGGAUCAAUGGUAAAAAUGGUAUGUACUAAAAUCAGGGCGAUGUCGUACUGAUCCAGCAUUAUUACGGGAGCAUUAGCCAUGACUACUUUGUUAUGGAUAUUGUGGUUUUUCACAAUCAACCAAAUAACGUCUUCCGAACGGAGUUUUCGCGUAAAACUCACCGAGUUCUCAGUCAAAUAUAAGGACACGAGCGUUGUUAGGAACGCGGGCUUUCGAAUUACUGAAUUGAAUAAUCGGAGUUAUGUGAACGGAGAGCUGUCAUUCAAGAGUGACGUUCCCGAAAUUGACAUGCGAACCACCAUGGACUUUUGGAAGCAUAAUAAUACCAAAAGAAAAUUUAAGUUAUAUGAUGUUCGGGUAGACGCUUGUCUUUUUCUCAGAACAGUUCAUCGCAAUAGUUUAUUUAACAUUUACGUAAAAAGCUUUAAAAAACACACAAACGCCAAUCUGGUUUGUCCUCUGAAGAAGAAUUUCAACUACACUCUGAACAAUUGGUUUAUGGAAGAAAAUGAUUUACCGGUCUUUAUUCCACUCGGUACAUUUCGGACCAUAUCCGAGUACUUUCUUCUAAAACGAAAGCUGGGCUUACGGAUUGAAACCUAUGGCCAAAUAUAUCCCUAUCCUUAGAUUAAAAAUGGAAGAGUUUAGAAAAUUAAAAUAUUAUUGAAUAUCGAAACAUACAUACAUACUUGAUUGGAGGGAAAUUAGAAAGGUUAAUAUACGUCGAGGUAAUUCUAUAGUCAAUUCGAACCGUAUAAUUGUUUUCCAAUUGAUUUUUAAGUGAUUUUUAAGAGGAAAUAAAUAAUGAAUGUCUACCGAAAUGACUUAUUUGGCUCGGUUGAUAUUUGGGUAGAACAUUUAAACUUGAGUUUCAGCCAUGAAGACUUGGUUCUGGAUCGGUGCGAUUGUUUAUCUCGAUUCCUUGAGCUACGCCCAUCGCAAUUUUGGAAUAAUUAUCGAUGAGGUUAGCGUCAAAGUGUUUAAUACGGUUCUACUGAAACAGUUCGAUUGCCAGACUUAUGCAAUAAAUAACCGGAGCUACGUUGAUUGUCAAAUACUUUUGAAUAGAACAAUCGAAAAAUUUAACGUUCGUAUCUCUUUGGAUUUUUCGAAAUCGAACGGGCCAGAUAUGAAACUAUACGAUGUCCACUUGGAGGCAUGCUCCUUUGUUACAACUCUGCACCAAACGAAGGUUUUAAAUACUUUUUCAAAAUACAUAAAGGAAUAUUCAAAUUUGGAGUGUCCGUUGAAAGCGAAUUUUCCUUACAAACUGGAGAAAUAUAACUUAAACGAACAAGAUUUCCCAUCAUUUGUUCCCAUUGGGUCAUUUCGCUCCCUAAUCCAAUUCUAUGUAAACCAAAGCGAUGUAGCAGCCAGAGUCAAGAGUCGUGGCAGAGUAGUUCCGCGGCAUUAAGAUCUGCUAUCUUCGGGGUUUUUAAAUAAAUCGUGUAAAUGUUUAGCCUGAGUAAUUACUUAAUUGCUUCAUCAGACAAUUUAACAGAUAUCAGAAUUCGAUUCAUUUUCGAUUAGUUUAUUUUUGUUUUCUAAAUAUAUCGUUGAUGUCU